rnacentral:rRNA from 1 species
AGGGCACCACCGGGAGUGGAGCCUGCGGCUUAAUUUGACUCAACACGGGGAAACUCACCCGGCCCGGACACCGGAAGGAUUGACAGAUUGAUACCUCUUUCUUGAUUCGGUGGAUGGUGGUGCAUGGCCGUUCUUAGUUGGUGGAGCGAUCUGUCUGGUUAAUUCCGAUAACGAAGGAGACUCUAGCCUAUUAAAUAGACGUCGGGUUCUCUGCACUCGACGGUCUUCUUAGAGGGACAAGGUGCUUUUAGCACCGCGAAACAGAGCAGUAACAGGUCUGUGAUGCCCUUAGAUGUCCGGGGCCGCACGCGCGCUACACUGAAGGAAGCAGCGUGUAACAACCUUGUUCUAACGAACUGGGUAACCCGUGGAACUUCCUUCAUGAUUGGGAUAGGGGUUUGCAAUUGUGCCCCUUGAACGAGGAAUUCCCAGUAAACACUAGUCAUCAGCUAGUGCUGAUUACGUCCCUGCCCUUUGUACACACCGCCCGUCGCUACUACCGAUUGAAUGGUUUAGUGA